GUGACUCAGAAGGGCCUCAAACACAGGAGAAAGCGGUCGGCACUGAGCUGGAGUAGGCAGAGGUCAGGUCACAGCAGCCUGUCCAUGUCACAUAAGAGUUGACACAGAGAGUCAUUAAAUUCUCUUAGGGAAAUGGAUAUGGGCGAUUUGUGUCUUAUGAAGAUCUCUCAGAUAGCUGGGCUGAAGAUGGAUUGGAUGGAAAUGAGAAGAGACAGAGUAAUUAAAAGCCGUAGACAAUUAUCCAGGAAUAGAAGCGAUCGAUCAACAGACUUCCUGGCUCUUUUUAUGGAAGUUGCUUCCUCGCAAGAUGCCUCUCCAUCUGACAGACACUGGAACCAGUCUGGCUGAAGGGUCUGCUGAAUUGCCAUGAACUUGGAAGCAGUCAUUUCCACUCGUCCCCCAAGACCCCACACGGACACAGACUGCCAUGGAACAAAAUGAUGAGGAAUCAGCAAGAGUGAAAUGCAAAUCAAAAGGAAAUAAUAAAAUGAUAAAGCAAUA